CUUAGCACUAAAAUCGUCGGAUUAAAACUUAAAGAGCAUGGCGGCCACAAAAAUGUUUAGGGGAACUUACCAAGUAAUAGACAACCCACACGUUAUUCCUCUUAUUUUUACAGUUUGUAUACCGCCGUCUAAGUAUUACUUAUGGUAGUGCUAAAAUUUGAUUAGGAAAAAGGACAGGUCAUGGUGCAGCCAAUAAAUAAGUUUUAGGCGAGUUACAAUAAAAUUUUUUUUUUAAAAAAAAUUUUUAUAAGAUUUUAAGAAGUGGACUUAAAAGUAAUACUAAAAAGAAAUAUAGUCUGAAUUAAAAAUUUUGUGGUGU
rnacentral:rRNA from 1 species